rnacentral:rRNA from 1 species
UACGCACGCUGGCGGCGUGCUUAACACAUGCAAGUCGAACGGAAAGGCCCUGCUUUUGUGGGGUGCUCGAGUGGCGAACGGUUGAGUAACACGUGAGUAACCUGCCCUUGACUUUGGGAUAACUUCAGGAAACUGGGGCUAAUACCGGAUAGGAGCUCCUGCUGCAUGGUGGGGGUUGGAAAGUUUCGGCGGUUGGGGAUGGACUCGCGGCUUAUCAGCUUGUUGGUGGGGUAGUGGCUUACCAAGGCUUUGACGGGUAGCCGGCCUGAGAGGGUGACCGGCCACAUUGGGACUGAGAUACGGCCCAGACUCCUACGGGAGGCAGCAGUGGGGAAUAUUGCACAAUGGGCGGAAGCCUGAUGCAGCAACGCCGCGUGCGGGAUGACGGCCUUCGGUUUGUAAACCGCUUUCGCCUGUGACGAAGCGUGAGUGACGGUAAUGGGUAAAGAAGCACCGGCUAACUACGUG